rnacentral:rRNA from 1 species
AUUGAACGCUGGCGGCAGGCUUAACACAUGCAAGUCGAGCGGGGUGAUGGUGCUUGCACUAUCACUUAGCGGCGGACGGGUGAGUAAUGCUUAGGAAUCUGCCUAUUAGUGGGGGACAACAUCUCGAAAGGGAUGCUAAUACCGCAUACGUCCUACGGGAGAAAGCAGGGGAUCACUUGUGACCUUGCGCUAAUAGAUGAGCCUAAGUCGGAUUAGCUAGUUAGUGGGGUAAAGGCCUACCAAGGCGACGAUCUGCAGCGGGUCUGAGAGGAUGAUCCGCCACACUGGGACUGAGACACGGCCCAGACUCCUACGGGAGGCAGCAGUGGGGAAUAUUGGACAAUGGGGGGAACCCUGAUCCAGCCAUGCCGCGUGUGUGAAGAAGGCCUUAUGGUUGUAAAGCACUUUAAGCGAGGAGGAGGCUCUUUUGGUUAAUACCCAAGAUGAGUGGACGUUACUCGCAGAAUAAGCACCGGCUAACUCUGUGCCAGCAGCCGCAGUAA